GGGGAUGUAGCUCAAAUGGUAGAGUGCUCACUUAGCAUGCAAGAGGCACCGAGAUCGAUACCCAGCAUCUCCA
rnacentral:tRNA from 1 species